UUUGUAAUCCCUCCACCCGGAAAUACUUAUCAUCAAAAUGGACAAAAGGAGAUGUAUCUAGACGUAUUUUAGUUAUAGAUACAUCUCUUUUUAUCCAUUUUGAUGACAAGUAUUUUUGGACGGAGGGAGUAAUAA
rfam:Triticum aestivum genome assembly, contig: Triticum_aestivum_CS42_TGACv1_scaffold_146802_2BS